CCUACGGGAGGCAGCAGUAGGGAAUCUUCCACAAUGGGCGCAAGCCUGAAGGAGCAACACCGCGUGAGUGAAGACUGGUUUCGGCUCGGAAAGCUCUGUUGUUGGAGAAGAACGUGCGUGAGAGUAACUGUUCACGCAGUGACGGUAUCCAACCAGAAAGUCAAGGCUAGCUACGUGCCAGCAGCCGCGGUAAUACGUAGGUGGCAUGCGUUAUCCGGAUUGAUUGGGCGUAAAGGGAGCGUAGGCGGGUGCUUAGGUCUGAUGUGAAAGGCUUCGGCUUAACCGAAGAAGUGCAUCGGAAACCGGGCAACUUGAGUGCAGAAGAGGACAGUGGAACUCGAUGUGUAGCGGUGGGAUGCGUAGAUAUAUGGAAGAACACCAGUGGCGAAGGCGGCUGUCUGGUCUGCAACUGACGAUGAGGCUCGAAAGUAUGGGUAGCGAACAGGAUUAGAUACCCCGGUAGUC
rnacentral:rRNA from 1 species